AUGCUGCUCCUCCCCGAGACCCCACUCAAUCUGGACCAGCAGGUCCCGAGCGCUCCCUCGUCGCCCCGCCGCCGUCUCUCGCCGGAGCCCUGCCGCCGGCGACCACCUCCGUCCCGGCCCAUGCCUCGUGCCUUGCUCCUCCCUCUUCCUUCUCCCCUUCUCCUUCCUCUCUCUCAUGCCUCAUCUCUCUCUGCCCGUGGACAGGAGCUUCUCCUGUUGGCCAUGGAGCCUGCAGCCCCAAGCUCGUCGUUCGUCGCCGUCCGCCGCCGGAUUCUCGACCCCGACUGCCGGAUCCGGUUGCCCCGCGCCCGAUCUAUCCAUUCCCAGCCUCCCCGACACUCGUCGGAGUCCCACGCGUCCACGCCGCCGGCGUCGACUUCCGUGGCCAUGGUUCUGUACGAGGAAUGGAGCCAGCCUGAUGUAGAUCCCGUUUUCGCGCUGGUAUAUUUUCACCAAGUCCCUAAUUUUCAGCAUUCUGGUGCCCUUUUCAACAUGCCAUAA
rnacentral:rRNA from 1 species